rnacentral:rRNA from 1 species
UACGAAGGUCCCAAGCGUUGUUCGGAAUCACUGGGCGUAAAGGGUGCGUAGGCGGUAUGGUAAGUCAGAUGUGAAAUCCCGGGGCUCAACCCCGGAACUGCAUCCGAUACUGCCGUACUUGAGGACUGGAGAGGAGACUGGAAUUCUCGGUGUAGCAGUGAAAUGCGUAGAGAUCGAGAGGAACACUCGUGGCGAAGGCGAGUCUCUGGACAGUUCCUGACGCUGAGGCACGAAGGCCAGGGUAGCGAAAGGG